GUGGUUUGUCGCGUUGUUCGUGAAAACCGGGGGCUUAACUCUCGGCGUGCGGGCGAUACGGGCAGACUGGAGUACUGCAGGGGAGACUGGAAUUCCUGGUGUAGCGGUGGAAUGCGCAGAUAUCAGGAGGAACACCGGUGGCGAAGGCGGGUCUCUGGGCAGUAACUGACGCUGAGGAGCGAAAGCGUGGGGAGCGAACAGGAUUAGAUACCCUGGUAGUCCACUCCGUAAACGGUGGGUACUAGGUGUGGGUUUCCUUCCUUGGGAUCCGUGCUGUAGCUUACGCAUUAAGUACCCCGCCUGGGGAGUACGGCCGCAAGGCUCUAACUCAAAGGAAUUGACGGGUGCCCGCACAAGCGGCUGAGCAUGUGGAUUAAUUCGAUGCGACGCGAAGAACCUUACCUGGGUUUGACAUGCACAGGACGCGUCCAGAGAUAGGCGUUCCCUUGUGGCCUGUGUGCAGGUGGUGCAUGGCUGUCGUCAGCUCGUGUCGUGAGAUGUUGGGUUAAGUCCCGCAACGAGCGCAACCCUUGUCUCAUGUUGCCAGCACGUGAUGGUGGGGACUCGUGAGAGACUGCCGGGGUCAACUCGGAGGAAGGUGGGGAUGACGUCAAGUCAUCAUGCCCCUUAUGUCCAGGGCUUCACACAUGCUACAAUGGCCGGUACAAAGGGCUGCGAUGCCGUGAGGUGGAGCGAAUCCUUGUUAAAGCCGGUCUCAGUUCGGAUCGGGGUCUGCAA
rnacentral:rRNA from 1 species